UUUAAGAUGAGAGUUCGAUCCUGGCUCAGGAUGAACGCUGGCGGCGUGCCUAACACAUGCAAGUCGAACGAGCAAGAGAUGAAACCUAGUGAUUACCGAGCGAGUGGCGGACGGGUGAGUAACGCGUGGGUAACCUGCCUUACAGAGGGGGAUAACAGUUUGAAAAGACUGCUAAUACCGCAUAAGCACACAGUACCGCAUGGUACAGGGUGAAAAGAUUUAUCACUGUAAGAUGGACCCGCGUCUGAUUAGCCAGUUGGCAGGGUAACGGCCUACCAAAGCGACGAUCAGUAGCCGACCUGAGAGGGUGAUCGGCCACAUUGGGACUGAGACACGGCCCAAACUCCUACGGGAGGCAGCAGUGGGGGAUAUUGCACAAUGGAGGAAACUCUGAUGCAGCGACGCCGCGUGAGUGAAGAAGUAUUUCGGUAUGUAAAGCUCUAUCAGCAG
rnacentral:rRNA from 1 species